UGCAGUCGAGCGGUAGCACAAAGGAGCUUGCUCCUUGGGUGACGAGCGGCGGACGGGUGAGUAAUGUCUGGGAAACUGCCUGAUGGAGGGGGAUAACUACUGGAAACGGUAGCUAAUACCGCAUAACGUCGCAAGACCAAAGAGGGGGACCUUCGGGCCUCUUGCCAUCGGAUGUGCCCAGAUGGGAUUAGCUAGUAGGUGAGGUAAAGGCUCACCUAGGCGACGAUCCCUAGCUGGUCUGAGAGGAUGACCAGCCACACUGGAACUGAGACACGGUCCAGACUCCUACGGGAGGCAGCAGUGGGGAAUAUUGCACAAUGGGCGCAAGCCUGAUGCAGCCAUGCCGCGUGUGUGAAGAAGGCCUUCGGGUUGUAAAGCACUUUCAGCGGGGAGGAAGGGAGCAGGCUUAAUACGUCUGUUCAUUGACGUUACCCGCAGAAGAAGCACCGGCUAACUCCGUGCCAGCAGCCGCGGUAAUACGGAGGGUGCAAGCGUUAAUCGGAAUGACUGGGCGUAAAGCGCACGCAGGCGGUCUGUUAAGUUGGAUGUGAAAUCCCCGGGCUUAACCUGGGAACUGCAUUCAAAACUGACAGGCUAGAGUCUCGUAGAGGGGGGUAGAAUUCCAGGUGUAGCGGUGAAAUGCGUAGAGAUCUGGAGGAAUACCGGUGGCGAAGGCGGCCCCCUGGACGAAGACUGACGCUCAGGUGCGAAAGCGUGGGGAGCAAACAGGAUUAGAUACCCUGGUAGUCCACGCUGUAAACGAUGUCGAUUUGGAGGUUGUGGUCUUGAACCGUGGCUUCCGGAGCUAACGCGUUAAAUCGACCGCCUGGGGAGUACGGCCGCAAGGUUAAAACUCAAAUGAAUUGACGGGGGCCCGCACAAGCGGUGGAGCAUGUGGUUUAAUUCGAUGCAACGCGAAGAACCUUACCUACUCUUGACAUCCAGAGAAGACUGCAGAGAUGCGGGUGUGCCUUCGGGAGCUCUGAGACAGGUGCUGCAUGGCUGUCGUCAGCUCGUGUUGUGAAAUGUUGGGUUAAGUCCCGCAACGAGCGCAACCCUUAUCCUUUGUUGCCAGCACUUCGGGUGGGAACUCAAGGGAGACUGCCGGUGAUAAACCGGAGGAAGGUGGGGAUGACGUCAAGUCAUCAUGGCCCUUACGAGUAGGGCUACACACGUGCUACAAUGGCGUAUACAAAGAGAAGCGACCUCGCGAGAGCAAGCGGACCUCAUAAAGUACGUCGUAGUCCGGAUUGGAGUCUGCAACUCGACUCCAUGAAGUCGGAAUCGCUAGUAAUCGUAGAUCAGAAUGCUACGGUGAAUACGUUCCCGGGCCUUGUACACACCGCCCGUCACACCAUGGGAGUGGGUUGCAAAAGAAGUAGGUAGCUUAACCUUCGGGA
rnacentral:rRNA from 1 species